CCUGGUUGAUCCUGCCAGUAGUCAUAUGCUUGUCUCAAAGACUAAGCCAUGCAUGUCUAAGUAUAAGCGAUCUUAUACGGCGAAACUGCGAAUGGCUCAUUAAAUCAGUUAUAGUUUAUUUGAUGGUCUCUCACCACUUGGAUAACCGUGGUAAUUCUAGAGCUAAUACAUGCGUCGAGUCCCGACUGUCGCGGAAGGGAUGUAUUUAUUAGAUUCAAAACCAAUGCGGGGCCCCGGUCCCGGUCUUUUGGUGAUUCAUAGUAACUGUUCGGAGCGCAGGGCCUYRWGCGCCGGCGCCGGAUCAUUCAAGUUUCUGCCCUAUCAACUGUCGAUGGUAAGGUAUUGGCUUACCAUGGUUGCAACGGGUGACGGAGAAUUAGGGUUCGAUUCCGGAGAGGGAGCCUGAGAAACGGCCACCACAUCCAAGGAAGGCAGCAGGCGCGCAAAUUACCCAAUCCCGACACGGGGAGGUAGUGACAAUAAAUAACAAUACAGGGCUUUCGUAAGUCUUGUAAUUGGAAUGAGAACAAUUUAAAUCCCUUAACGAGGAUCCAUUGGAGGGC
rnacentral:rRNA from 1 species